rnacentral:rRNA from 1 species
GAUUAACGCUGGCGGCGUGCCUAACACAUGCAAGUCGAGCGGCAGCGAGUUUUACACUGAAUUCUGGAAGCUUCUAGUUGAAAGAGGAGAUUUAUUCAAGAAUUUUGUGUAAAAUGUCGGCGAGCGGCGGACGGCUGAGUAACGCGUGGGAACGUACCCCAAAGUGAGGGAUAACGCAUCGAAAGGUGUGCUAAUACCGCAUAUGGUCUUCGGAUUAAAGCCUUCGGGCGCUUUGGGAACGGCCUGCGUAAGAUUAGAUAGUUGGUGGGGUAAUGGCCUACCAAGUCGACGAUCUUUAACUGGUUUGAGAGGAUGAUCAGUCAGACUGGAACUGAGACACGGUCCAGACUCCUACGGGAGGCAGCAGUGAGGAAUCUUCCACAAUGGGCGAAAGCCUGAUGGAGCAACGCCGCGUGCAGGAUGAAGGCCUUCGGGUUGUAAACUGCUUUUAUAAGUGAGGAUUAUGACAGUAACUUAUGAAUAAGGAUCGGCUAACUACGUG